GAUGAACGCUGGCUACAGGCUUAACACAUGCAAGUCGAGGGGAAACGACGGGGAAGCUUGCUUCCCCGGGCGUCGACCGGCGCACGGGUGAGUAACGCGUAUCCAACCUGCCUCUGACUGAGGGAUAGCCCGUCGAAAGUCGGCCUAAUACCUCAUGGCAUCGUCUGCGGGCAUCCAACGACGAUUAAAGAUUUCAUCGGUCAGGGAUGGGGAUGCGUCUGAUUAGCUUGUUGGCGGGGUAACGGCCCACCAAGGCUACGAUCAGUAGGGGUUCUGAGAGGAAGGUCCCCCACAUUGGAACUGAGACACGGUCCAAACUCCUACGGGAGGCAGCAGUGAGGAAUAUUGGUCAAUGGGCGGGAGCCUGAACCAGCCAAGUAGCGUGCAGGAUGACGGCCCUAUGGGUUGUAAACUGCUUUUAUGCGGGGAUAAAGUGAGGGACGUGUCCUUCAUUGCAGGUACCGCAUGAAUAAGGACCGGCUAAUUCCGUG
rnacentral:rRNA from 1 species